AUGGCUGGAAACCUGCUGUUGGUCGUCGUCAUGUAUUCCUUUUCUGAGAUGAAAGCACAAGCUCUUCUUGCACCUAAACUGACGGUGAACCAAUCGGUGAUCACAGACACAGACUCAGUCACAUUGAACUGUCAGCCUCCACCAUCUGUUUCUGUGUCUCAGUGUUAUUUCAGCACUGUAAGAGGAGGACCGGCCACACGCUUCUCUUGUCUGCAGACACUGACAGGAACUGAACUGCUCAAGAUGUCAUAUCAAAGUUCACCUGCUGAGGUUGAAGUGAAAUGUUCUUACCUUAAGGUGUUUCAAUCUCCUGAGAGUGAAACAACCUCCAUCACCAUCCGAACAUCUCUUCCACCUAAACUGACAGUGAAUCCACCGGUGAUCAACGAGACAGACUCAGUCACAUUGAACUGUCAGACUCCACCAUCCUUUUCUGUGACUCAGUGUCAUUUCUACAUUUUAAGUGGAGGAACUGUCAGAGACUCCUCUUGUCUGCAGACACUGACAGGAACUGAACUGCUGAAGAUGUCACCUCAGAGUUCACCUGCUGAGGUUGAAGUGAUGUGUUUUUAUACUGUAAAGCUUGGAGAAAAAGAUUCUCCAUCUCCAUACAGUGGCACUUCCCGCAUUACCAUACACAGUCAAACACCACAGAUGACUCUUCAGCAUUUUCAUGGUGAACACGUUCUCUUUACUUGCUCUCUGCCUGGAUCUGCUAAUCAUGAUACGAAAUGUAACCUGUACUUUGGAGAAGAAAGUGAUCCAGUUAAAACAUCAACCAUCUGGAAGAAAAGAAGCUCAACCAAUCAGUGGUUCUGCCAGUUUAUUGUCACAAUUGAUGAUUUGUUGAAACGUCUACGUUUAGUUAAACAAAGUGAUGCCAGCUGUGAUUACAGUUUGGGACGUGAACCCAACUCUUUGUCUCCUCGUAGUGAUCGAUACAACUUGACUGGUAAGUCACAAAAGACAUGA
rnacentral:lncRNA from 1 species